rnacentral:rRNA from 1 species
CCUACGGGGUGCAGCAGUGGGGGAUAUUGCACAAUGGGGGAAACCCUGAUGCAGCGACGCCGCGUGGGCGAAGAAGUAUUUCGGUAUGUAAAGCCCUAUCAGCAGGGAAGAAGAAAUGACGGUACCCGAAGAAAAAGCAUCGGCUAACUCCGUGCCAGCAGCCGCGGUAAUACGGGGGAUGCGAGCGUUAUCCGGAUUUAUUGGGUUUAAAGGGUGCGCAGGCGGAGGUGCAAGUCAGCGGUCAAAUUGCGGGGCUCAACCCCGUACUGCCGUUGAAACUGCAUCCCUUGAGUGCGCGAGAAGUAUGCGGAAUGCGUGGUGUAGCGGUGAAAUGCAUAGAUAUCACGCAGAACUCCGAUUGCGAAGGCAGCAUACCGGCGCGCAACUGACGCUCAUGCACGAAAGCGUGGGUAUCGAACAGGAUUAGAUACCCGGGUAGUC